AGACAUUUGAGACAUUUGAGGCCUGAUGGAAAUGUAAACUUUGCAGCGGGCAGAAUACCAGAAACAUUUCUAAGUAUAUUUAUGAUUCCAAACAUUUAAUGACCCCAUAACCCUUUAAACUUUACAUUGUUGGCCCUACUAUUUCUAAAGGUUUCAGUAAACUCCAGAAUCUGUCUAGGAGUCAGACAGGUGUGAGUCAGCAGUGACGGAAGCUUGUGUUUUGCCUGUUUUACAUGAGGCUGUGAUUAUUUAUUUUUUAAUAACUCACUGCCUGUUCAGGUGCAGCCGUGACUCAGACACACACAUAAUUGCAGGUUUCAUUGCACAACAAACUAGAGUCUGACCUGAGGAAACUCCAGGUGAUUUUCACAGUUCCCAUAAUCUGCUUCACGUACAAUUUAAAGCGUUAACAUGCUUUCAUUCGUCAUUCGCUCUUCUUACGUUUCUUUAUCUGUGAUACAAAGACACAUUAUGAAGGACAGCUUGUGCUGCUCCCGCAGUAACUGCUGGAAAUGAAAGCUAGCUUAGCUACGAUCUCACAGCCUAGCCCAUUAGCUUCAGCACUGCAGCUUCUCCACAGAAUUUACAAUUUUGGGUCCCAGUAGCUGAAUAUGAAAGUGUCAAAUGAUGGGAGACAAGCCGUACACACUUUCUGCAGUGUAUACAACGUGCAACAGAUGGUUCCUAUAGAGAGAGAGUUAAAGCUGCUUGAAGAAAAUCAACAUGUACAACAGCGUCAUUUGGACAAUGACUGAAGCAACAAGCUGCAAAUUGUCUUGAGGUCGUCAGAUGUGGGCCAGGCUAAUCUGGUUGAAACAAGAUAUUGUCAGAGCGCUGUGAGACGCCCUGCGGCUCGAAGAAAUGUGAUUUGUGCUUGAUGAUGUGAUUACAUACCAACACAGAUCACAGAGUGUUAGUCACACGGCCGUAAACUCUGCUCUCUCCCGAGGUGAUUGUA